CAGAGCUAAGCUUUAUGCCACCUAAGUAGGCAUUAUUUGUGCCCGACAAGAGCUGUGGGCACAGUGGAUUCUCAUAGAAGGAGAUUCUGCCACCGUUAUUGGUUGGAUUCGAGAUGACGCAAAGUAGCUAGAGGCCCAUCCACUCUUCCAUGACAUAUGGACUUCACUUUAUACUUCCGUUGUGGUGUCUAUUCGGUAUGUCUUUCGAGAGGUGAAUAGCACGCAAAUUAGGUCGUAUCUUACAUUGCUAAGCAUACUGGGAACUAAACCUAGCGAUAUGAUCAGAUUUGUCUAUGAGCCCUGCAGGAUCUUUUAUUUUCUGACUUUAUGGGGUAUUGGUAUACUAGAGUGAUGUGAGUGCUAGCUUGUAUCAAAAAAACAAAAAAUCCAAAUUAGUGAUGCCACAAGCUGAUUCGUGGAG
rnacentral:lncRNA from 1 species